rnacentral:rRNA from 1 species
GGAAUCUUCCACAAUGGACGAAAGUCUGAUGGAGCAACGCCGCGUGAGUGAAGAAGGUUUUCGGAUCGUAAAACUCUGUUGUUGGAGAAGAACACGUUUGAGAGUAACUGUUCAGACGUUGACGGUAUCCAACCAGAAAGCCACGGCUAACUACGUGCCAGCAGCCGCGGUCAUACGUAGGGUCCAAGCAUUAUCCGGAUUGACUGGGUGUAAAGAGUUGCGUAGGUGGCAGGGUAAGUAGAUAGUGAAAUCUGGUGGCUCAACCAUUCAGACUAUUAUCUAAACUGCUCCGCUCGAGAACGUUAGGUGUAGCUGGAAUUUCUAGUGUAGGAGUGAAAUCCGUAGAUAUUAGAAAGAACACCGAUAGCGUAGGCAGGCUACUGGGACGUUUCUGACACUAAGGCACGAAAGCGUGGGGAGCAAACG